GAAGACAUCACUUCCUUGAAGACUUGGCUCACUAUAAGCCUCCUGGCGGCUCCUUCCUGGGGCACUGGGCCAAACUCCUGACACGAUUAAGAAGAGGUUUUGGAACUGGGCCAGACUAGGAAAACAGGAAAGAUGACGAACAAAGCUUCCCUCCUUCUGAGGGUUGUUUAUUCCAGUGUUCCUUCAGUUGAGUUUUCUGGGUACACAGCAGCCCUUGGCUUUCCAUCCCAUGUGCAGCCUCUGGCCCAGCACUUAGUCCACUCUCAGUCAUAGAGCUUAUCACACAGACUUGCUCCAGUGCCCACUUGUCCAACUGCCCCAAACUCCUGGAAACCAGAAAGAACACAGAUGUAUCUCAACUGAGUGCCUACCAUAUUUCUACAGGAGGAACUGUCUUCGCAUAAAAGCCCCUCUGCAGCUCCUUAAGAUCCUACUGAUGCUUCAAUUGCCUCAUCUUUGGUCAACAAGAGCCUCUUCAAGACAUUGGCUUCUGAGCCCUUUUGACAUGACACUAUAGCUUUAUUGCUUUCUGGAAUGAAAAAGUCUUCUUGGUUCAUCUUGUAUAUUUUUUGCUCCAGACCUUGAAUCAGCUAUUUCUCCUAGGAGCCCUGGUUCUUUUGUGGGAAAUGACUUUCUGGAUGAUGUGUACUGAUGAUAUCACUCUUGGAUGGGCCUGCAAUGCAGAUGAGCUUAUGUGCAGAUGUAUUGAUUUUAUUAUUAAUAAAUGGAAGGGAUUUUAAUGGAACUGGCCCUGCUAUCUUAUAAUUGACACUGAAAAGGGAUCCAGCUCAACAUUUCUAAAACCCAAAUAAAAGAUUUUAGUCAUUUAAGCAAAAAUUUGUAAAUCUCUCAAAUUCAUAAACUCAUAAGGGACUCCUUCUAUCACUUAACUGCUUAUUCUUAGUAACUCUUUUUUUUUUUUUUUUUUUUUGUUGGAGACAGGGUCUCACUCUGUCGCCUAGGCUGGAGCUCAAUGGCAGUCUCAGCUCACUGCAGCCUCUGCCUCAUGGGCUCAAG
rnacentral:lncRNA from 10 species